GUAGGUUAAAUACUGAUUAAACCCCUCAGGCUGUAGGUUAAAUACUGAUUAAACCCCUCAGGCUGUAGGUUAAAUACUGAUUAAACCCCUCAGGCUGUAGGUUAAAUACUGAUUAAACCCCUCAGGCUGUAGGUUAAAUACUGAUUAAACCCCUCAGGCUGUAGGUUAAAUACUGAUUAAACCCCUCAGGCUGUAGGUUAAAUACUGAUUAAACCCCUCAGGCUGUAGGUUAAAUACUGAUUAAACCCCUCAGGCUGUAGGUUAAAUACUGAUUAAACCCCUCAGGCUGUAGGUUAAAUACUGAUUAAACCCCUCAGGCUGUAGGUUAAAUACUGAUUAAACCCCUCAGGCUGUAGGUUAAAUACUGAUUAAACCCCUCAGGCUGUAGGUUAAAUACUGAUUAAACCCCUCAGGCUGUAGGUUAAAUACUGAUUAAACCCCUCAGGCUGUAGGUUAAAUACUGAUUAAACCCCUCAGGCUGUAGGUUAAAUACUGAUUAAACCCCUCAGGCUGUAGGUUAAAUACUGAUUAAACCCCUCAGGCUGUAGGUUAAAUACUGAUUAAACCCCUCAGGCUGUAGGUUAAAUACUGAUUAAACCCCUCAGGCUGUAGGUUAAAUACUGAUUAAACCCCUCAGGCUGUAGGUUAAAUACUGAUUAAACCCCUCAGGCUGUAGGUUAAAUACUGAUUAAACCCCUCAGGCUGUAGGUUAAAUACUGAUUAAACCCCUCAGGCUGUAGGUUAAAUACUGAUUAAACCCCUCAGGCUGUAGGUUAAAUACAUUCUAAUUAGCUUCGUUGCAGUCUUGAUAAUACAGUCACAUGCUUCUCUUUCUCUCUACUGCUGAUGGAGAUUUAUUGCCAUGGAACAAUAAAAACUCACUGCAAUCAAAACAGACCGUCAGAUCGGUAUUACAAAGGACUGUGGGGACACGCAAUCACCCACGGACAGGGUGUGAGAGGGAUACCGGCCCGACAGGCGGCAGACCGGCCCGACAGGCAGCUAGACCGGCCCGACAGGCGGCAGACCGGCCCGACAGGCGGCAGACCGGCCAGACAGGCGGCAGACCGGCCAGACAGGCGGCAGACCGGCCCGACA